CCUACGGGUGGCAGCAGUGAGGAAUAUUGGGCAAUGGACGCAAGUCUGAACCAGCCAUGCCGCGUGAAGGAAGACGGCCCUAUGAGUUGUAAACUGCUUUUGUACGAGGGUAAACUCAGAUACGCGUAUCUUUCUGUAUGUACCGUACGAAUAAGGAUCGGCUAACUCCGCGCCAGCAGCCGCGGCAAUACGGAGGGUUCAAGCGUUACCCGGAUUUAUUGGGUUUAAGGGGAGGGUAGGCGGUUGGAUAAGUUAGAGGUGAAAGUCCGAGGCUCAACUUCGGAAUUGCCGUUGAUACUGUGAGGCUAGAGUGAAGUAGCGGUAGGCGGAAUGCAUGGUGUAGCGGUGAAAUGCGUAGAGAUCAGGAAGAACACCGAUUGCGAAGGCAGCUUACCGGGCUGCAACUGACGUUGAGGCACGAAAGCGUGGGGAGCAAACAGGAUUAGAUACCCCGGUAGUC
rnacentral:rRNA from 1 species